AGUUACUGGUAGAUGAAGACUUUUAGUUGGUGUUCUACCUUUCUUCUUCCUUCUCGGUUUCACGGAUGCCCUGUGCUGAUGACCGAACGCUUCUUCGGUUGGUAAGGAGGUAUUCAUCUUGAUUUUUUGCCGAGGAUUGAGAAAGGUAUCUUCGCCUCAGAUAUUCUCUUACCUUUGAUCUAUUGCCGAGGCUGAGAUUGGUAGAUCCGAUUGGAUCUUUGUUGCCUUCUAUUCGAUACUCUGUUGCCUUCUUGUUGAUUUCGAUUUUGGAUAUUUUAUACCUC
rnacentral:lncRNA from 1 species